AAAAGAUGAAUCAUUUAAUGCAUUGAUUACACAACUUUGAAUGCAAAUAUUACCUUUCUUGACUUCUAAUAAGGGUAAUAUUUGCAUUCAAAGUUGUGUAAUCAAUGCAUUAAAUGCUUCCUCUUUU
rnacentral:pre_miRNA from 1 species